CUCUCCAGUGAACAGGCAGAACCAGGCUGCUCUCGGGGUGACAUGCCAACUGCUGAUGCCUACUGGGCUGGAGAUCACCUACUGAUACUUUCCCAUUAGCCCACUGCCCAUCACCUCUUCCCCGGGAUCUAAGCAUGCAUUUGUAGCCAGGAGCCACCAGAGGGACUUGGGUGUACAGUAAUUCUUUCUCCCCUCCUAGCCCACCCAGACUGUGAUUCAGCAGGAGAUUUUGAAAAGUCACACAGUGCAGGAGGAAGGAAGAACAUAUUACUUUGGGAAUCGGGAGACCAGGUUCAAGAUGGGCUCCACUUUCACAGGGGAUUCUAGAGGUUGGCUCAUCUAACAAUGGAUGACAUUGAUCCCUUGAUCCUGCUCAGUUGGAUGAUGUACUUGGCAAUGGCACCUUUCUUCUCUGAACUGAACCUGGGAGAUGAACCACCACAACCAGACCAGG